GGACUGUUGCAGGUCUGGAAGGAGCAGACUUGGGCCGAUGCUCGCAGGAGAGCGGGGUUGCGGUUGCUCGCGACCAGCU
rnacentral:SRP_RNA from 1 species